UCCGGGACCGUCAAAUUAUGGGUCUGGAUCUGUUUACCCAAAAUAUUGACUGAAGUCAAAUUUAUUCAUUUUAAUACCAAAUUUUAGUAUGUUUUUAUAGAAUUUCACAUUUAAGCUUUUCGGUUACGCACCCGGACUGCACACGCAAAUCGAGGCGAAUAAAAAUGAGGUUUUCAAGGCCUCGGAAGCACGGAAUGAAUAAGAAAACAGGUGAUGACCUUUUGGGUUGUCACAGUUUUUCGGCGUGAACAAUUGGUAGAAAUAUGCUAUAAAAGCUGCUCUCAGUAAAAUUAUUUUAUUGUUUCAGCUUAAGAGUUAUUUGCAAUUUGAAAUAAUUUUGAACUAGUCUUUAGGAAUGAACUAGUCUUUAGGAGUUUGUUAUUUUCAGCAGAUUUUGUGCUGAUUUUUAGGUCUUUUAAGUUAGUAUUUCUCUUAUAAAUUGUAGUCCAGAUGCAGUGAAAUAACUUAGAAUUUUCAACUUCAGUUUUUUAGAAUUCCCUUUACAUCUAUUCAAGUAUAUUCCUUUUAUAUCUUCCCUUAUUAUUUCCCUUAGUUUCUUUUAUCAAGAACCAACAACAGUGCACUUUUAAAUUCCGGAGUAGAAUAUGUCCUAGUCCCAUAUGUAGGAAUAGAAUAUGUAUUAUAUAUAGGGCCCAUUGUAUCAUUGUUAAUAACUAGAUUUUUCUUCCGUGUAUUUUCACAUACUUUAAAUGUUCCAAAGCACUUAGAAUUUCCGAACUGUUGAACCCAUCCUAUUUAAUUAAAAAAAAUCAGUCGUUUGCCCUUGAAUAUACUCACUUUUCUAACAAAGUAAAUUUCUUCGGCUUGCAUGGAGACACGAAGAUCGCUGGAGGAAGGUGAAGAACAUUGCUCGUUUUGUUCGAUAGCUUCCCAGCCACUUCAGAAAAAACUGCUCUCACUGGUCUACAAAAUACAUGUUCAGUGCAUUCAAUUUGGAUUCAUCAGAUGGAGAGGCUUGAUUUAUUGUGUGACAUUAUAAAUGUAAUAUAGAAUAGUGCAUAUUAAGUGUCUCAUAGCAGGUGAUAUAACCAUAUAAAUUGAAAAAAGUGGAUCUAAAAGGAUUCAAGCGUAAGACGAUUCGAAAAGAAAAGUCUGGCCAACUCGAGAAGAUUGUAUGAAAAGAAUAGAGUGGCGUUGUAUUCAAAGGGGGAGCCAGGAUUUGAAACUAUUGGGUUUGGGAUUUUAACCUUUUUGUGUUACUGGGUUCUAAAGUUAGAAUUUGUACGUAUUCAAUAAAUUUCUUAAGGCAAAUAUAUGAGUUUGGACUAAAGCUAUUGGGUUAGGCCGAAUCCAUUGUCGAAGCUCUAGCUCCGCCCCUGGUUGUAUUGUGUUGUCGGGCAGAUGAUCAAGAACUGAAUUAGUUUUCAGUUUGUUAGUUUGACAACUGUAACUAAAGUAGCUUACCAGUUAAUCAGGAAGAUUCAUGUGUAGCUAUUACCUAUUAUCAAUGUCUCUAUUUAUUUAAUUGUGUACA